CCCACCCCCACCCCCUGGUUUCUGUCCUUCGGUUCCCUGCCCUUCAGUCGGGACUAUACCAUAGCCCUCACUUUCCCAAGCAGCGGCCUCUACACGGUUUCUUUUGGCUGUGGACUCACCCUUGACAUUUUUGUUUUUUCAUUUCAGAAAUUCCCAUAGGAACCUAGAAAAGAUAAGAUAUCAAUUUCUCUUGGGAACAAGGAAAAGCUGGGUGAGAGAAGAGAACUCCUACAAUGGAGACUGUGGGGCAUCGGUACGCCUUUAACUUCAGUACUUGAAGGGCAGAAGCAGAUGGCUGCCCUGGUCUACACAGCAAAUUCCACAACAGCCAGUGCUACAAGGUGUUCCAAGAAUGUAUUUAUUAAAUUAUUGACUAAAAAUCAUCAGAAAGUGAGGGAGCGAGGCAUGGUGCUGCACGUCUUUAAUCUUAGCACUCUGGAGGCAAAGGAAGCCUUGAAGCCCUGACCUGCACGACAGCAGGUGUUCUGUGCACCGCUCCCAACUGCUCCCUGGAGUGCUGUUUCAGCACCCGUGGAUCCACACAGUCUGUCAGAGCUGCCAUAUUAACACCCAUCCUAACAGUCCCUGGAAACAGGCCUUCUGGAUCAUCUGGUUUCUACAACAGAUGCGGUGAUGAAAAUAUGUCGGUCACACCGACAGACUUCUGAGAGCUGAAGUGCAGCAGCCUCUGUACAGAAGCUGAUCUUAGAAUCUGAGUGUGCCCAGAGAGUAGCGGUUUGGCACAGGACUGCCACUGCAGGCAGAUUAGCCCCAGGCAUCAUACACAAUUGAGUAUGAUGUAGCUAGUUCUGAGCCGUGUGUAUUUUGCUGAUUAUAGCUACAUCCGAGUGUCUCCUGUUACAGUGCUCUAGUGCCUGUCAGGUGGCAGCACAGACACGGCCACAGUGUAAGAAUUUUACCCAAUGCUUAAGUCCUUAUAUGCCUCCUUCCUCAGGCCAUUUGCGACUCUCGGCCUACAUUCCUCUCAGGCACUGAGUUCUGCUUUGUAUUCUGGACUAUUUUAAGUAACAAUUUCAGUUGAGUGUACUCUUGUAUAAGACUCCCGUAGUCCUAAGCAGUCAGUACUUCCACGGCAGUGAAACCCUUAGGCUGCUGCACGUAGGAACCCCUCUUCAAGGCGCUUUGUUGCUUCAUUUUCUGCUGAGGCACAAUGGCUGAAAAUUUAGCUUCUAUUUUUGGGUCAGCAUCAGGUCCAUUUCCUGCUCUGUUGUGCCAAAAAUGUUUCCACAUUUCAUUAUGUUGUCCUUGCUCUUCUAUACAAAGGCUUAUGUGCAAGAUUAAGUGUGCUGUGAGUUGACGCCCUUUUGUGGAAAGGGAAAGGGUUGAUCUCACUGAUGGAAUUUAAUAAAGUACCCUAGACAACAGCAGGUGCUUA